rnacentral:rRNA from 1 species
UACGAAGGGGGCUAGCGUUGUUCGGAAUUACUGGGCGUAAAGGGCGCGUAGGCGGCUCUGAUCGUCGGAUGUGAAAGCCCUUGGCUUAACCAAGGAAGUGCAUUCGAUACUGUAUCGCUUGAGUACUGGAGGGGAUGGCGGAAUUCCCGGUGUAGAGGUGAAAUUCGUAGAUAUCGGGAGGAACACCUGUGGCGAAGGCGGCCAUCUGGACAGUCACUGACACUGAGACGCGAAAGCGUGGGUAGCAAACAGG